rnacentral:rRNA from 1 species
UGAGUACGAGAUGCUACGGCAUCGAAGCAGUCUAUGUCAUACUUCCAAGAAAAGCUUGCACUGUCAUAAACAAAGAAUGCCUGUACCAUAACCGACACAGGUGGGUAGGUAGAGUAUACUAAGGGGCGCGAGAUAACUCUCUCUAAGGAACUCGGCAAAAUGACUCCGUAACUUCGGGAGAAGGAGUGCCUUAUUUCUAAGGUUGCAAUAACAAGAUCCAAGCAACUGUUUACCAAAAACACAGGUCUCCGCUAAGUCGUAAGACGAUGUAUGGGGGCUGACGCCUGCCCAGUGCCAGAAGGUUAAAGAAGUUGGUUAGCAUUAGCGAAGCUGAUAACUGAAGCCCUGGUGAACGGCGGCCGUAACUAUAACGGUCCUAAGGUAGCGAAAUUCCUUGUCGGGUAAGUUCCGACCCGCACGAAAGGCGUAAUGAUUUGGAUACUGUCUCGGAGAGGGGCUCGGUGAAAUAGACUUGUCUGUGAAGAUGCGGACUACCUGCACCUGGACAGAAAGACCCUAUGAAGCUUUACUGUAACUUGAGAUUGAAAUUGGACUUUAUUUGCGCAGUAUAGGUGGGAGGCGUUGAGAAUAAUCUUGCGGGAUUGUUGGAGCCAUCAGUGAGAUACCACUCUUGUAAUGUUAGAUUUCUAACUUUGUAUCAUUAUCUGGUCAAAGAACAGUUUCAGGCGGGCAGUUUGACUGGGGCGGUCGCCUCCCAAAGGGUAACGGAGGCGCACAAAGGUUUCCUCUGAACGGGUAGAAAUCGUAUCUAGAGUGUAAAGGCAUAAGGAAGCUUGACUGUGAGACCUACAAGUCGAGCAGGGACGAAAGUCGGUCUUAGUGAUCUGACGGUGCUGAGUGGAAAGGCCGUCACUCAACGGAUAAAAGUUACUCUAAGGAUAACAGGCUGAUCUCCCCCAAGAGUUCACAUCGACGGGGAGGUUUGGCACCUCGAUGUCGGCUCAUCGCAUCCUGGGGCGGUAGUCCGUCCCAAGGGUUGGGCUGUUCGCCCAUGAAAGCGGUACGCGAGCUGGGUUCAGAACGUCGUGAGACAGUUCGGUCCAUAUCCGGUGUAGGCGUUAGAAUAUUGAGAGGAGCCUUCUCUAGUACGAGAGGACCGAGAAGGACAUACCUCUGGUGUACCAGUUAUCGUGCCAACGGUAAACGCUGGGUAGCUAUGUAUGGAGUGGAUAACCGCUGAAAGCAUCUAAGUGGGAAGCCCACCUCAAGAUAAGUAUUCUCAUC